GACAGAGGUGGCAACGUUGUUCGGAAUUAUCUGGCGUAAAGGCGCGUGUAGGCGGCUAAGUAAGUCGGGCGUGAAAUCCCACGGCUCAACCGUGGAAGUGCACUCGAAACUGCAUAGCUAGAGUCCUGGAGAGGAAGGUGGAAUGGCGUUGGAUGUAGAGGUGAAAUUCGUAGAUAUUAGGAAGAACACAGUGGCGAAGGCGGCUCACUGGCCCGGUACUGACGCUGAGG
rnacentral:rRNA from 1 species